AUUUAUAUCUGCUCCUUCCUCAUCACAUUAUGUGGGAAGCACAGAGUGCUCUUGGAUCCUCUGACUGUCUCUGAAGGCACGGCAGAGAUUAUUGUAAAGUAUCCGUCAAUAACAUUGUCGCUGAACUGCCAAGAGGAGUUUCUUGGGAUUUAUGAAGAGACUCAGAGAGGAAGAAAAGUUCCAGGACAAAACCUAUCACUGCUCCAAAAAUUCCCGAGGAGAUGAUCUUGACAUAGAUGUCAUCCUUCCAGACUGGGAAGGAAUCCUGCAGUCACUGGGACACCCCUGUGAGACCCAAAUGCCACCAGCUGCCACAGGAGACUUGUAGCCCUAUUAAAAUCCAUUAUUCUCCCUGAAGUCGUGAACUUUCUGGACUGAAAGAAACCUGUCUAAUUGUCAUGGCAAAGUGAUGGUGUGCGAAGGAUUUGGGCUAACCAAAGAGUUACUAGGACAUUGUGCGGAAAGGGAAGCUGUACAAGUGUCCUCUAAACAUAGAAGAAAAAGCAUAGACUGGAAAUUUAAGUUGUUAAAACAUUUAUGAAUACAAGGUUCUUCAGUGCCAGCUCUCAG